rnacentral:lncRNA from 1 species
GCCCUCCCCACCUGCUGGGAGAGGAGCAGGGCUGGAGACUGUGUUCCAUCACCAAUGACCAAUGAGCUCAUCAACCUUGCCGGUAUCACGAAGCCUCCAGAAAAAAGCCAAAAGGAUGGGGUGUGGUGAGCUUCCAGCUUCUUUAUUUUUAGUGCGGAAUAAUAUUCCAUUGUCUGGAUGGACCAUGAUUUAGAUCUCCAUUCGCCUACAGAAGGACAUCUUGGUUGCUUCCAAAUUGGGGUAAUUAUGAAUAAAGCUGCUGUAAACAUCCAUGUGCAGG